rnacentral:rRNA from 1 species
GAGCGGCCCGCGUCUGAUUAGCUUGUUGGUGAGGUAAUGGCUCACCAAGGCUACGAUCAGUAGCUGGUCUGAGAGGAUGAUCAGCCACAUUGGGACUGAGAACACGGCCCAAACUCCUACGGGAGGCAGCAGUGGGGAAUCUUGCGCAAUGGGCGAAAGCCUGACGCAGCCAUGCCGCGUGAAUGAUGAAGGUCUUAGGAUUGUAAAAUUCUUUCACCGGGGACGAUAAUGACGGUACCCGGAGAAGAAGCCCCGGCUAACUUCGUGCCAGCAGCCGCGGUAAUACGAAGGGGGCUAGCGUUGCUCGGAAUUACUGGGCGUAAAGGGAGCGUAGGCGGAUAGUUCAGUCAGAGGUGAAAGCCCAGGGCUCAACCUUGGAACUGCCUUUGAUACUGGCUAUCUUGAGUUUGGGAGAGGUAUGUGGAACUCCGAGUGUAGAGGUGAAAUUCGUAGAUAUUCGGAAGAACACCAGUGGCGAAG